rnacentral:rRNA from 1 species
CGAAUGCUGACAUAAGUAACGAUAAAGCGGGUGAAAAGCCCGCUCGCCGGAAGACCAAGGGUUCCUGUCCAACGUUAAUCGGGGCAGGGUGAGUCGACCCCUAAGGCGAGGCCGAAAGGCGUAGUCGAUGGGAAACAGGUUAAUAUUCCUGUACUUGGUGUUACUGCGAAGGGGGGACGGAGAAGGCUAUGUUGGCCGGGCGACGGUUGUCCCGGUUUAAGCGUGUAGGCUGGUUUUCCAGGCAAAUCCGGAAAAUCAAGGCUGAGGCGUGAUGACGAGGCACUACGGUGCUGAAGCAACAAAUGCCCUGCUUCCAGGAAAAGCCUCUAAGCAUCAGGUAACAUCAAAUCGUACCCCAAACCGACACAGGUGGUCAGGUAGAGAAUACCAAGGCGCUUGAGAGAACUCGGGUGAAGGAACUAGGCAAAAUGGUGCCGUAACUUCGGGAGAAGGCACGCUGAUAUGUAGGUGAAGUCCCUCGCGGAUGGAGCUGAAAUCAGUCGAAGAUACCAGCUGGCUGCAACUGUUUAUUAAAAACACAGCACUGUGCAAACACGAAAGUGGACGUAUACGGUGUGACGCCUGCCCGGUGCCGGAAGGUUAAUUGAUGGGGUCAGCGCAAGCGAAGCUCUUGAUCGAAGCCCCGGUAAACGGCGGCCGUAACUAUAACGGUCCUAAGGUAGCGAAAUUCCUUGUCGGGUAAGUUCCGACCUGCACGAAUGGCGUAAUGAUGGCCAGGCUGUCUCCACCCGAGACUCAGUGAAAUUGAACUCGCUGUGAAGAUGCAGUGUACCCGCGGCAAGACGGAAAGACCCCGUGAACCUUUACUAUAGCUUGACACUGAACAUUGAGCCUUGAUGUGUAGGAUAGGUGGGAGGCUUAGAAGUGUGGACGCCAGUCUGCAUGGAGCCGACCUUGAAAUACCACCCUUUAAUGUUUGAUGUUCUAACGUUGACCCGUGAUCCGGGUUGCGGACAGUGUCUGGUGGGUAGUUUGACUGGGGCGGUCUCCUCCUAAAGAGUAACGGAGGAGCACGAAGGUUGGCUAAUCCUGGUCGGACAUCAGGAGGUUAGUGCAAUGGCAUAAGCCAGCUUGACUGCGAGCGUGACGGCGCGAGCAGGUGCGAAAGCAGGUCAUAGUGAUCCGGUGGUUCUGAAUGGAAGGGCCAUCGCUCAACGGAUAAAAGGUACUCCGGGGAUAACAGGCUGAUACCGCCCAAGAGUUCAUAUCGACGGCGGUGUUUGGCACCUCGAUGUCGGCUCAUCACAUCCUGGGGCUGAAGUAGGUCCCAAGGGUAUGGCUGUUCGCCAUUUAAAGUGGUACGCGAGCUGGGUUUAGAACGUCGUGAGACAGUUCGGUCCCUAUCUGCCGUGGGCGCUGGAGAACUGAGGGGGGCUGCUCCUAGUACGAGAGGACCGGAGUGGACGCAUCACUGGUGUUCGGGUUGUCAUGCCAAUGGCACUGCCCG